rnacentral:rRNA from 1 species
GACGAACCGUGCGAACGUUGUUCGGAAUCACUGGGCUUAAAGGGCGCGUAGGCGGCUUCGCAAGUCGGGGGUGAAAUCUUUCGGCUUAACCGGAAAAGGGCCUUCGAUACUGCGGAGCUUGAGGGAGGUAGGGGCAGACGGAACUUCCGGUGGAGCGGUGAAAUGCGUUGAUAUCGGAAGGAACGCCGGUGGCGAAAGCGGUCUGCUGGCCCUCUUCUGACGCUGAGGCGCGAAAGCCAGGGGAGCAAACGGG